rnacentral:tRNA from 1 species
UCUAAUAUGGCAGAAUAGUGCAGUGGAUUUAAGCUCCGCAAAUAAAGUCUAAUACUUUUUUUAGAA